UCGGUCCUCGGUAGUGGCCUUCGGGCAGAAUCCUUCCCGCGGGCCUCGAUCGAAGACCGG
rnacentral:ncRNA from 1 species